UUCAAAAACCCCCUCUGUGGUUUCAUGCAUUCUCACUUUAGUAUCCUGUGGUUUAAAACGUAUCAAUUUGCCCCCCUGUGGUUUUGUUUUUAUCUUUUCAAAAGCUUUUUCGUUAAUAUUUCGUUAAAUUAUAUACAAAAAACUUCAGAUAACCAUCUAUGUUUAUCGAAUAUUCACUUUAGUAUCCUUUAAUUUUAAUUUUGUCACUGAUUUAAGAAAAAAAAAAUAAUAAAAUUGAUAAUAAAAAGAGAAAAUAAAAUCACAGGGUACUAAAUUAAUACACUUUAAACCAUAGAAUAGUAAAGUAAAAAAGUGUGAACCUAUAGAGUGAUAUUUAAAGUUUUUCCUAAAAUUUAUCUGUAAGUAGAGCGUUACUCAAAUUCUUAGGAG
rnacentral:lncRNA from 1 species